ACAGUCUCAGUUCGGAUUGAAGGCUGAAAUUCGCCUUCAUGAAGCCGGAAUUGCUAGUAAUGGCAGGUCAGCAUACUGCCGUGAAUACGUUCCCGGGCCUUGUACACACCGCCCGUCACACCAUGAGAGUUGGGAAUACCCGAAGCCUGUGAGCUAACUUAGGAGGCAGCAGUCGAAGGUAGAAUCAAUGAUUGGGGUGAAGUCGUAACAAGGUAUC
rnacentral:rRNA from 1 species